GCGGCGGGGAGGGGCGGCUAGCCGCGACGGCGGCGGACGGAGGGGGAGGGCCGCGAGCCUUCGGAACCAGCCUCGAGGGUGCUGAACCCCGCGCGCCCGCCUCGCCGCGGCCCCCGGGUGGGGGCGUCCACGGCCCGGGUUCCCGGCGGGCUUGGGGCAGGGACGCAGUCCGGAGAUUCCGGGACUGCCCGGCUGCUGCAGCCCGCAGGCUCCUCUCUCCUCCCCGCUUCCCCUCCGCACUGCCUGGGCUAAAGGCGGCCAAGCUGAGGCUCCGAAAGAAAAGGGAAAAUUGCAACCCUUGCCUACAACCAGACUGACAGCAUAAUUUCUUAGGAAUCAAGAAUCAAUACAGGGUUAUUUCUUUAGAUUAAACCUUAAAAGCCCCCUUGGAGGCUGAAGAAGCAGAGGAUAGCCAUGCAUACACUUGAACGUGAAAAAUGGUCCUCUUUCAUUGGAGAGGUCUUCCUCUUCAGCUAAACCGACAGAGUGGUGAAAAGAAGAAGGGACCCCUUGUUGACCAAAAUAAUCCAGACAAAUCAAAUCGGCCCUUUCCAGCAAGGAGUGGAACAGCCCAAGGGUGGCUAGAUCACAUCUUCUGCUCACACCACCACUGAGCAACCCUCUCCAGGACUGCCACCUAUGCAUAGGUCAUGCCCUGUGCAAGAGCACAUAAAGUGGGAGCUGAAGUCCUGCCCAGGCUCCAUUCACCAAGCAGAGCUUAUGUUGUUGUGUGUCUGUGUCUACCCAGAGGAUGUGGGUCCUUUUUAAAAUGUGCACCAAUGCAUCUUGUAUGAGCUGGCACCAGCUCGGACCAUCCCACCCUCAUACCCUGGUCCUAUCCAGGGUUAUAUUCCCUACUUUAGAAGAAUUAAUUAUUUUUAUGAACGUAUUUAGUUUAUUGUAAAAAAUGAAAUAUAUGACACAAAUUGAAAUUAAUUUCAGAGGUAAAGGUCAGAAUAUUACCAUGUAUGUGAAUUAUGUUUGUAUGUAUAUGUAUAUAUCAAGAGAGUUAUAUGAAUAUACAUUUUUGUGUAUCAGAAGUGAGGACAAUUUAACUUUGUUAAGUGUUUGAAAUAAAAUUAUUUUGAGUUUUG
rnacentral:lncRNA from 1 species